GAUGAAAAUGGUCAAGCGUGUGUGGAAAAGUGUGUAAGACGAAGAGACGCCAGACGACGACCGGUUUCUUACGCCAUUUUGCCUUCUUUUCCGAAGGAGAGAUGAACAGGUUUCCGGGUGUCAUAUAAGUGACCAGAGGCGAUUUGUUAGGAUAAAGAUGACCAAUGGCAGAAGAGAUUUUGUUGAAAAGGACAGGUGA
ensembl:ncRNA F10F2.13 ncRNA